CACGUAGUUAGCCGGUGCUUAUUCUUCAGGUACCGUCAUCAGACAGGGGUAUUAACCCUAUCCUUUUCUUCCCUGACAAAAGUCCUUUACAACCCGAAGGCCUUCUUCAGACACGCGGCAUGGCUGGAUCAGGCUUGCGCCCAUUGUCCAAAAUUCCCCACUGCUGCCUCCCGUAGGAGUCUGGGCCGUGUCUCAGUCCCAGUGUGGCGGAUCAUCCUCUCAGACCCGCUACUGAUCGUCGCCUUGGUAGGCCUUUACCCCACCAACUAGCUAAUCAGAUAUCGGCCGCUCGAAUAACGCAAGGCCCGAAGGUCCCCUGCUUUCCUCCUCAGAGAAUAUGCGGUAUUAGCUAAUCUUUCGAUUAGUUAUCCCCCAUUACUCGGUACGUUCCGAUAUAUUACUCACCCGUUCGCCACUCGCCACCCAAGAAGCAAGCUUCUCUGUGCUGCCGUCCGACUUGCAUGUGUAAAGCAUGCCGCCAGCGUUCAAUCUGAGCCAGGAUA
rnacentral:rRNA from 1 species